CAGCACCAGCAGCGCCGCGGAGCCCAUGGCCGCGCCCGCCCGCCCCUCGCACAGCCGGCGCGGCCGCCAGGAGCGGAGAGCUGGGGCGGCGCUUGCAAGGGAGGAAGGAAGGAGUGAAGGAAGCACAGCGGAACACUGGUGAUGGGAGCUGCGAUACCGUUACGAAUCUCUCAGAAGGAAAGAGAAAACGGCAGCGAGGUGGGAAGGAAUGAGGAAGGGCUGUAACAACACCGCAGCCGGUUCUCUCGAUAUUGGCUCCCUCGAGCCAUGAGGUCUAUAUACGGCCUCAGACUUCCACCUCCUGUUUCCCAUAAAAUUACAGCGGCGUAUAAAACCGUAAAAAACGUCAUGAACAUCUCAAAGUACUGUGAUUUCUCGUAAAGCAGUGCUGGCACUGUUGCAGUGUAUUUUGUUCAGAAAAAUUGUGUGUUCAUCUGCAAAGGGACAGACCAGUGAGCCUCAAAGAACCCAAAGUAUGGUUUCCAAAUCACACUGCAGCUUUCCUGUAGGCCCUCACUAGUUUAAUGCCUUCAUUGACAGCUCAAAACCAGGAAUUAAAGAAACAAGUUUUUAAAUGGCUCGAUGGAAAGAGUGGAAGACAAUCGGUGGCCUGAGCUCAUCUUGAGGUGUAACACCCACCCUACUUGAUGCUUCUGCCCCCUCUGAGCCCCUGGUGCAGAGGGGCCCAGCUCAGCUCCCUGAACUGGGGAUGUUUCACACCAUGGCAUACCCCCCCCACAGCCGAAGCUGUAGAGCACGUAGAGAACUGAGUUUCAUUUUACAGUACAGAAAAGCAAAAGAGUCACGAGCCCACAUACCUUCAGGAGGUUGUGGCAGCACAAAACAGAGGAGCAUCCAAGAACUUGAUUUCAAGACUUGAUGCCAUGUCUGCCUGCUCAGCUGUGAGCACAUUUACAAAGCAGUCGGUUUGCUUUUCUUUAGGUACGAACGGUUUUAUUCCCCUCACACAGCUCACUAUGAAAUUUAAAAUGCUCAUUUCAGCAGCCAUGGUUUGGUUUGUACAAUUUUGAGAUGGGAUUGAAAUGGUGGGGGUUUUUUAGUUUAGGCUAUUUCUUUUGCAAGGAGGGGUUUACUUUGGGGUUUUUUUUGGUGGCGGGGUUUCUCGUUUAUUGUUAAAGCACAGUUGAUGUUCCAUCUGGAUUCAUUAAGUUUCUACUUCAUUUAUGAACCAGGUCAGAAUCCUGGUCAAGAAAAUAAUAUACUGUCUCAGAAUACACUUAAGUGAGAAGGUGAAACAUGCUUAAAAAACAGAAAACCAUGCAAGUUCCUUUAAAGAAGUAAUGGUACCAUUAGUGUCACUUAUCAUCUUGUUAUUACAUGAUGUUUUUUCUUUUAAUGAAUGAGUCGGGUCACUGUGCAUACAAGGAAAGCAAACUACUGACUACAUAUAGGUGCCUACACAUGAUUCUGCAUAGAAAUGCAAUAGCAUUCAAAGAAAUCCCAAUUAACUGCAGGACUUUAUUCAGUUUUGUCAUUUCUCUCCUCAUGUUUCUUAUUGUUUAUAAUUAUAGACUGUAAACUUAGAGAAGGAAAGAAUACAUAAAGCACCUUGGGAUGUUAAAGAGUUAGUUACUUUAGCAACAUAUAUACAGCUUUUACACCAAAUUACAGAAGAAUAAAGUGUGACUGACACAAAAACAUGCUGCUGCUCCUGGUAUGCAGCACAGAGUGCAGGAGUGAACUGCAGAACUCAGGAAUUACCAGAGUUUUGUUUUCGCUCCUGGCUUUCACACACCUAAUUCAGCAUACCAUAACAAGCUACCCUAGACUUGUCUUUAGGGCAUGACUGAACAUGGUCAACAUGCCUUUAUAUUUUUGAUACAAAUCCUUUUGAACUGACAACCCUUCAUUUCAAUACAACAUAAAAAUGCUAGUCCUUCAAUUCAUCUACCAUAUAAAGAAAAAGUACACAAUAUAACCAUAGGUGUUUUUUCACCUGUGAGAGCACAGGGAGGGGCACAGUUCUGAAAAAUAUUGGUCCAAAAAGAAAAAUGUAGCUGAUCUUUUUUUUCCUCUUAAAAUUUCUACUACUUUCAAAAAGGGAUAGAUGGGACCCAUACUGUUCAGCAGCAGAAGUCUGUGCACAAAAAUUUAGCUGUUAGUUCCCAUGUGUGUAUUUUUAAGACUCAGUAACCCACAUUCAAUAUAUUGACUAACUGAAAGGCAGGUUCCAUUUCAGUUCAACUCCCAGCUACCUUUUAGUGAGAUUUAGAGAGAAUUAAGUUUUAAUGCUACCAAAGAACAAUUUGCAAAUUGGCUUUUUUCUUUUUUUAAUACAUUUUUUUCAGUAAGUCAUGUGAUAGCUUCCCAGUAAGAAGGAAACUGCAUUUCAAGAUGAUUACUGUACUUCCGUGUUUUCUUUGCCAUUUAUUCUUUCUGCUGAAGACUGACUGGAGCAACACACACACACACAUAAAAACCUCAACCUAAAAACAAUGCUGUAAUUAAGUAUUCUGAGAACAUGCUGUUUCCUUGUUCAAGGCUUAUAAUUAAGUUAAAUCAUGUUUCAUUUUCAUGUCCCAGUUUUAGGGUUUGUUUUUUGUUUGAGAGCAUUUUUAAACGAAUGACAUUUUUGCUGUUUAAAGAUAUGAAAGUUUUAAAGGCAGUGGUUUUAUUUUUUAAAAUCUUAAGACACAAAACAAGAUCUUUUGUGUGCUUUUUUACUGUGUACCAUAUUAACAUUAUUUUCUGAAAUGCCACAAAUUUAGGUUGCUACUAUUAUUACUCUGCAGUACUGCAAGCAGAUAUUCUUAGCAACUACGACAAAAAGCUGAAGGCAAACCUAUGCCUUUGACUCUGUCAGAAUAAAUUCAGAGUAGUUCUGUUGAAGCUGCCCAAAUUCUGCCAUGUUAAUCCAAAAGUCCUUUGUUUCCAAUUGCAUAUGCAGUUUCUAUCAUCACAACUGCUGCUGUUUUCUCUUUCAAAUUCAUGUUAAAUGAAUUCAUGCAAAGGUUUCAAACAGGUUCUUGCAGAUUUGGGUGCAGUACUUCAAGAUAUUACUGCCCCCACCUGUCCACCCUGUACUAUUCUUCUCCUGAAGGUAAACAUCUCUGAAGCAAAACAGGACUUGUGUUCACACCAGUCCACAUCAGGGCAUGCUGUCUCUUUUGGUAGCUGUGCACUGCUGAGGAUACCACCACCACUGACCAUUUGUCAAAGGUGCAAAGCAACUAAAGGAUCAUCUACCCUGUGGAAUUUUGUCUAGAUGCAGAAGUAUCAAUGCAGACAUGUUGGAUAAGUACUGGUAAUGAAACUGGACUGGUGUUUGUAUGACUAAAUACCUUCAGGCAGCACAGCAUAUCCAUAUGAAAGCCCCACAGCUCCUCAACCUAACACCUGACCUCUGUUUCCUGACUGCCUCUGCAGAACAGAACUGCUGUGCAAAAUAGUUCCUCCCUGGGCUGGGGUAAAGGCCAUAUGAUGCAGGGAGCUCUCCAGCUAUGGAUUUGUAAAGGACGUUAUUCCGUAUUUAUCUUGAAUCCCCCCCAAAAUGAUGUUAAAAAUAAAAUGAGGAAAUAAAUUAAGAUUGCUUUUAGAGGAGGACGCUAUUCAUACAGCACUAGAAGAGAAUGUUUUACUAGGUUAUUGUGAGCAAAAUACAAAGUAGGCCUAAAGUUUCUUUCAUAAUUCUGGUAAAGUCAGUAGGUCACUGCAAGGGGAUUUCCUUAGCAAACAAAAUUACUCAAUGCUAGCAAUCACAAGUAAUUAAAAAUAAGUAUGUGGAAGAGAAGUACUGCUGCAGGCAAAUGCUAUAAUGGAAGGGAAAAAGCAAAAUAUACGUAAUAAUAAUUUUAAAAUUGCAUAAGCAGGAAGACAGGUGAUACCUUGAAUGUAACCUUAAAUUUCAUCAGAUAUGCUGGGCCAAAAGCUUGUAUUUCAUAUCUCUACAUAACAUCUUGCUUUGAGAUGAGCUUAAAACACAGGAUUUAGGUUUCAGGUCACCACCUUCUAUAGCACAGACACAAAAAGUGGAAGGAUCUUUAAAGCCAACAUGGCCAGAUUUCUAAAGACAGGUUCUUUAGAAGGUGGAAUUCCCACAGCUUUUAUUCUCUUCAUUUUUUAAACAAUUUUGAAACAAUCCUAAUCUAUUUUUAAGAUUACAUAACACUGACCAUUGUCGUUUACCCUUUGUCUCAUGAACAGCAAAGUCACUGUCUGAAGACCAGGUAUGGUGCUGUCCAACCUCGCCAUCAACUCUCAUUAAAACUUACUUAAAACAUAUUGAGAAUCAACGCCAAUUCUCAGGCACUUACAGGAAAUUAGCCUUUCUUAAAGGUCUAAAGCUAGACAGUCAUCUGUCUGCAAUGUACAACCACAAUACAAUGUACGAAAAAAGCCUUGUCCCCAAAAGCCUAAAAUGAAAUCCCUCAAAACGUGCGUAUUGCAGGUAACAAACAGUUUCUCCCAUGAUGGAAGUUUGAGAGGCUCACUGAGCCUGUGUACUUGGCACUUUACCAGCCGAGUGCAUUACACACCAAAUAGAGCAAACUAAGUAUGAAACAUACUGUUUUAAUGAAUGUUUUCUGUGCAGGUGACUAUUACGAGAAUCUCAACAUAGGUUUAUAGCUGAUGAACUGGAUGACUAAAUGGAGUUGAAACAGCUGGGAGCUAGAUUUCUUUUUCUAACUCAAGUGACUCUAGACAAACUACUGGGGCAGGUUAGGACCUCUGUUUCUCAGACCUUCAGUGGGGGUAAUGCACCUGGCUUCAGCACUAGGACAAACUCUGUCUAUUCAUUUCUGCAAAAAUGACUCAAAUGUAAGCACCGAGGAAUAUUCAAAAUAAAACUGUGGGCACUUGAAAGAGACUUUUUUCCCCCUUGGAAGAUUAAUGAUUAUUUCAACACCUGUAAGAACUUCCAGAAUUCUUAAUCAAUGAAGUCCCCACUGAAUUGACUCAAGGCCCACUCAUGCAACAGCAUAAGCCAAGAGCCUGUCUACGUAUGAAAAAAUAUUCACUUGUCCAGUGUGAGUGAUUCCAGUGCAAACCCCUUAUGUAAUGGAACCACAUCCUCAUGCAGUCCAGGAGGCCACAUGCCACAUCACUCACUGCACUGGUACAAAUGUCUCAGGAGUAAGAGUUAUUGGAAUUGACUCAUUCACAUUCACGAAAGAGACAUUUUUUAAUACGGGCUCUAUUUUUUUUCCCCAAAUGACUUAGUACAUAAACAGCACUAAAAAUACUAUUUUAUACAUACACCCAUCUGUAAAAAUUAAAAAAAAAAGCAUUACAUACUUGAUUCUCACUGCAACAAAAAGGAAAAGACAACUGCAAUAUACAAAGAUCCUAUAUAUUCUAGGAUCAUAGACUAUCUCAAAUCGGAAAGGACCCAUAAGGAUCAUCAAAAGUCCAACUCCCCGCUCCUUGCAGGAUUAAAUAAAACUAAACCAUAUGACUAAGAGUAUCAUUCAGUUGCUCUUUGAACUCUGACAGGCUUGUUGUUCUGAACCACUUCCCUGGGGAGCCUAUUCCAGUGGCUGCCCACGCUCUCAGUGAAGAAGCUUUUCCUAAUGUCCAGCAUGAACUUCUCUGAUGCACCUUCAUUCCAUUUCCUCAUGUCCUCUCAUACGGACUACAAAUACCUUGUUUUGGUACUAGUAAAAAUUUUAAUCUUAUGAUACAUGCAUUGGAAGAAGGAAAUGCAGGCAGUAGUUUUAUGGCUAGAAACAUGAAGAACCUCAGGGAUUUGAACCUUUGUCUCUUCAGCUCAGUUGUUGGUGAAGGAAGGGGAGUGACUAUGUUAAGAUACUACUUACACUCAUUUUGUUUAUAGCUAAAUUCUCAGCCCACUGGAUCCAAGUAAUCUGGUGCUCAAAUUAGUGCCUACAUCUUUGAUUACUGCUACAAGUGUCACAAUUCCAUGGAAGAAGUCUCUUUUUUCUCACCACUGGGACUGUAGAUAAGCACAAAGGCAACAGUGGCCUGUAAGAAAGGUUCUAAAAACCACAAGAGAUCACUGCCUGGAAUCCUCUAAAAUUGUUUCAGAAAAAUCUUCAGCUAGUCUAAACUGUUAUAGAUCUAAUGAAAGGAGAAGAACUUUAAUUAAACCUUCGUAUAAAACACUCAGCAUACAUUUUGAUGUCUAUAGAACAUUUCAAAAAAGUGCCACAAUAUUUAAAGUUUUAAUUAGUGAGUUGGCGAGUGAACAGCCACCUAAUUUUGUGGCAAUUUUUACUUACUAGCAGAACAAACAGCAUUCAGCAAACAACCAUUUCCAAAGAUAUGGCUCUCUCCUAAAAGGGUUUCUUCAUCACAGGAAGCUGUCAUGACUCCAGAAUGUUAUUAAGCACUUACAGAGUUCAAGAUGCAGAAUCAUCUUGAGUACUUAUCUGUCAAUAAAGGUUCUAUUAUGUUGA